rnacentral:tRNA from 1 species
GCGGGGGUUGCCAAGCCUGGUCAACGGCGCAGGGCUUAGAUCCCUGUUCCUAAGGGAUUCGUGGGUUCAAAUCCCACCCCCCGCACCA